CAAGAUUCUCAGCAACGAGAGGGGAAUGUGCUCUCUUUUUUUAGUGUGCUUGCGUUAGAGAGAGAGAGAAGAGAGAAGAAAGACAAACAAUGAUGCUCAAUGCGAUGGAUAGAGCUACAUAAUUGAAAUAUUUGUGCACCUGUCAUUUGCUGAGGUGGUUGGUCAAUUUGGGGUCUGGGGAUCAAAUUCAAACAUCAAACUUUGAAUUUUGACUAUUUGAUUAGAACAAUCUGCCUGCUUACCUAUCCAACAUAACUCCACCAUAAUUACAUUCUAAUCAAAGGGUUCAAUAAGGA
rnacentral:misc_RNA from 1 species